AGUGCCAAAACUUCCCAACACAAUUAUUUCAAAUAAACAAAGAAAAUUUAAAUAAAACACAACAUUUUUUUGCAAACAGUUUAUUUAAGUUAGUGCUUAGAACAAUUUUUUUAUAAUAUAAAGCUUAUUUACCGAGUAUUGAACUUACACGUCGACAUUUUCAUGUGCUGAUUUGUCUAGUUUGGGUAACGAUUUUUUUUCUUUCUUUUUGUAUUUCAUACUUGUAUACUGUCAGUUAAAAACUAAAAACAAUAGAGAAAACAGUGUAGAGCCAAAGAGUUAUCAUUAAUUAAUAAUAUACCUAAGAAAUUAUAAAAAAAGUCGACAGUAUAAAGUAAAAAAUACAAACAUCUCUACACUGUUCUAAAUAAAAAGCGAAUUUGAGGUAGGAUGAUAAAAAUUUGCUAAAAACAAUUCCUACAAAGACGUGAAUCAUAAUAAAUAUAUCAAAUAAAAUAACAACAAACAAAACAAAAUAA